rnacentral:lncRNA from 1 species
UCCUGACUCAUGCUACCACGAGGACUCGCUGGGAGAACAGGCGUGAAAUUAGCCAGAUGCCUGGGCAGGCCCUGCUGACCUCACUGACAGGAGGCGCCAGCGGUAGGCACCUUCAGAGACGAGAACCGAGGCGACCCGGACCGCGGGGAGGGGAGUUUCCACUGGAGGAUAAGCGCCCUGGAGGUGUGCGGAGGGGAGGGUCACCACAGUGACAAUGUGCUUGAUGCCCCAGAACUGGCCUGCGAGAAGUGGUGAAGAUGAUGAAUUUCCUGUCAGGGAUGCUUUGCCACAAUAAAAAAUUUAAACAAAAUAUUUUCGGCAACAGGAAGAUUAGAUCGUCUGCACUCCUUACAUGAUAAAUAUUGAUCUUAGGAAAUGGAACUUCAGUUCUGAAAUGAUGAGUCAUAGCUGCUCAAGGAACGCAGGACAGAAAAGUGAAACCACUAUUUCCUGGAACUGGCGCAGAAGGGGUCAGUAGGUCUGGAUGGAACCCAUUUCCCCUCCGUCGGGGAAUGAAGGGAAAGCGGUUCUACGAGAGGCGUGGACGCGGGGCCGGGGGUGGAAAGACCGGCUUCCAGGCUCUGUAGACGCUUGUUUCCAGGAACUCGGACCUUGGAUUUCCUGCUUCCCCGUGGACUAGGUCAGUGGAGCCCCCUGUUAAAAUUGGGUUUCCUUUUUAUGAAAAGAUUAUUUUAGGAAAUUUCUGCAAUUUCCUGGACCUGAGAUUCAACCACGUGGUACAACCACCAUCGAC